rnacentral:rRNA from 1 species
UACGGGGGGGGCAAGCGUUGUUCGGAAUUACUGGGCGUAAAGGGCUCGUAGGCGGCCAACUAAGUCAUACGUGAAAUCCCCAGGCUCAACCUGGGAACUGCGUCUGAUACUGGUUGGCUUGAAUCCGGGAGAGGGAUGCAGAAUUCCAGGUGUAGCGGUGAAAUGCGUAGAUAUCUGGAGGAAUACCGGUGGCGAAGGCGGCAUCCUGGACCGGCAUUGACGCUGAGGAGCGAAAGCCAGGGGAGCAAAGCGGG